rnacentral:rRNA from 1 species
GGGGAAUAUUGCGCAAUGGGCGAAAGCCUGCCGCAGCGACGCCGCGUGUGGGAUGAAGGAUCUCGCAACGUAAACCUCUGUCAGAAGGGAAGAAACCGCCCCUUGCUAAUCAGCGGUGCAUUCACGGUACCUUCAAAGGAAGCACCGGCGCACACCGUGCCAGCAGCCGCGGUAAUACGGAGGGUGCAAGCGUUAAUCGGAAUUACUGGGCGUAAAGCGCAGUAGGCUGCUUUGUAAGUCAGGGGUGAAAUCCCACGGCUCAACCGUGGAACUGCCUUUGAUACUGCUUAGCUUGAAUCCGGGAGAGGGUGGCGGAAUUCCAGGUGUAGGAGUGAAAUCCGUAGAUAUCUGGAGGAACAUCAGUGGCGAAGGCGGCCACCUGGACCGGUAUUGACGCUGAGGUGCGAAAGCGUGGGGAGCAAACA